GACGAACGCUGGCGGCGUGCUUAACACAUGCAAGUCGUACGGUAAGGCCCUUUCGGGGGUACACGAGUGGCGAACGGGUGAGUAACACGUGAGUAACCUGCCCACAACUUUGGGAUAACGCUAGGAAACUGGUGCUAAUACUGGAUAUGUGCUCCUGCUGCAUGGUGGGGGUUGGAAAGCUCCGGCGGUUGUGGAUGGACUCGCGGCCUAUCAGCCUGUUGGUGGGGUAGUGGCCUACCAAGGCGGCGACGGGUAGCCGGCCUGAGAGGGUGACCGGCCACAUUGAGACUGAGGUACGGCCCAGACUCCUACGGGAGGCAGCAGUGGGGAAUCUUGCACAAUGGGCGCAAGCCUGAUGAAGCGACGCCGCGUGCGGGAUGACCGCCUUCGGGUUGUGAACCGCUUUCAGCAGGGACGAAGCUUUUUGUGACGGUACCUGCAGAAGAAGCACCGGCUAACUACGUG
rnacentral:rRNA from 1 species